AGGUUAAGUUAUAAAGGGCGCACGGUGGAUGCCUUGGCACUAGGAGCCGAUGAAGGACGGGACUAACACCGAUAUGCUUCGGGGAGCUGUAAGUAAGCUUUGAUCCGGAGAUUUCCGAAUGGGGAAACCCAAUCAGUUUAACCGCUGAUUAUCACUAGGGGAAUACAUACUCUAGUUGAAGGUAGACGUUGUGAACUGAAACAUCUAAGUAGCAACAGGAGCAGAAAGAAAAAUCGAUUCCCUAAGUAGCGGCGAGCGAACGGGGAACAGCCCAAACCAAGCUGCUUGCAGUUUGGGGGUUGUAGGACUGAACAUUUGAGUUACCAAAGACCUUGAUAGUCGAAGACGUUGGGAAACGUCGCCAUAGGGUGUGAGAGCCACGUAGA
rnacentral:rRNA from 2 species